CCAAGCGCACAUAUGAACGGAACCGUACCGACUCCCAUCUCCAUCUGUUUCACUAUGUCAUCCCCCAGACCCAACCGAGCUGCCUCCGUAGCCGCCCCAAUGCGAAAGGAGUGGGUACCAAAAUUAUCUGCCCUCAAUCCCAGCUUUCCCAGGCCAGACCGAAAGACCUUGGUGAACUGGAACCGGGAGAGGGAAGACCCGUGCCAUGUACCCCGCCACUGCGGCCACUGGGCACAAAGCAGAGCCCGGCAGGGCCCGCAGCGUCACAUCUCGGCCCUUGCCCAACAUGUCCGUCUUGGAUUUUGCCAGGUGUACAACCACCUUCCCUUCCAGCACUCGGAC